rnacentral:rRNA from 1 species
GAUGAACGCUGGCGGCGUGCCUAAUACAUGCAAGUCGAGCGAACAGAUAAGGAGCUUGCUCCUUUGACGUUAGCGGCGGGCGGGUGAGUAACACGUGGGUAACCUACCUAUAAGACUGGGAUAACUUCGGGAAACCGGAGCUAAUACCGGAUAACAUUUGGAACCGCAUGGUUCUAAAGUGAAAGAUGGUUUUGCUAUCACUUAUAGAUGGACCCGCGCCGUAUUAGCUAGUUGGUAAGGUAACGGCUUACCAAGGCGACGAUACGUAGCCGACCUGAGAGGGUGAUCGGCCACACUGGAACUGAGACACGGUCCAGACUCCUACGGGAGGCAGCAGUAGGGAAUCUUCCGCAAUGGGCGAAAGCCUGACGGAGCAACGCCGCGUGAGUGAUGAAGGGUUUCGGCUCGUAAAACUCUGCUAUUAGGGAAGAACAAAUGUGUAAGUAACUGUGCACGUCUUGACGGUACCUAAUCAGAAAGCCACGGCUAACUACGUG